rnacentral:rRNA from 1 species
AUUGAACGCUGGCGGCAUGCUUCACACAUGCAAGUCGAACGGCAGCGGGGUAGUGCUUGCACUACUGUCCGGCGAGUGGCGAACGGGUGAGUAAUAUAUCGGAACGUACCGAGUAAUGGGGGAUAACCAAUCGAAAGAUUGGCUAAUACCGCAUACGUCCUAAGGGAGAAAGCGGGGGAUCGCAAGACCUCGCGUUAUUCGAGCGGCCGAUAACUGAUUAGCUAGUUGGUGGGGUAAAGGCCUACCAAGGCGACGAUCAGUAGCGGGUUGAGAGGACGAUCCGCCACACUGGGACUGAGACACGGCCCAGACUCCUACGGGAGGCAGCAGUGGGGAAUUUUGGACAAUGGGGGCAACCCUGAUCCAGCCAUGCCGCGUGUAUGAAGAAGGCCUUCGGGUUGUAAAGUACUUUUGUUAGGGAAGAAAAGGGAAGUGCUAAUACCACUUUUGCUGACGGACCUAAAGAUAGCCCCG